UACGUAGGGUGCAAGCGUUGUCCGGAAUUAUUGGGCGUAAAGAGCUCGUAGGCGGUGUGUCGCGUCGGCCGUGAAAACCCGCGGCUUAACUGCGGGCUUGCGGUUGAUACGGGCGGGCUAGAGUUCGGUAGGGGAGACUGGAAUUCCUGGUGUAGCGGUGAAAUGCGUAGAUAUCGAGAGGAACACCUGCGGCGAAGGCGGGUUGCUGGGCCGAUACUGACGCUGAGGAGCGAAAGCGUGGGGAGCGAACAGG
rnacentral:rRNA from 1 species